CCUCGUGCUUAACUCGAAGAUGCCACCUGCGUUGGACUAGAUAGUUGCGGUGAGGUAACGGCUCACCAAGGCGACGAUACAUAGCCGACCUGAGAGGGUGAUCGGCCACACUGGGACUGAGACACGGCCCAGACUCCUACGGGAGGCAGCAGUAGGGAAUCUUCGGCAAUGGGGGCAACCCUGACCGAGCAACGCCGCGUGAGUGAAGAAGGUUUUCGGAUCGUAAAGCUCUGUUGUAAGAGAAGAACGUGUGUGAGAGUGGAAAGUUCACACAGUGACGGUAACUUACCGAAAAGGGACGAUAC
rnacentral:rRNA from 2 species